UACGGAAGAUCCAAGCGUUAUCCGGAAUUACUGGGCGUAAAGAGUUGCGUAGGCGGCAUGAUAAGUCAGCAGUGAAAGCGUGGGGCUCAACCCCAUAUACAUUGUUGAAACUAUUAAGCUAGAGGAUGAGAGAGGUUAUUGGAAUUCCCAGUGUAGGAGUGAAAUCCGUAGAUAUUGGGAGGAACACCGAUGGCGUAGGCAGAUAACUGGCUCAUUCCUGACGCUAAGGCACGAAAGCGUGGGGAGCAAA
rnacentral:rRNA from 1 species